rnacentral:rRNA from 1 species
CCUACGGGAGGCAGCAGUGAGGAAUAUUGGACAAUGGGCGCAAGCCUGAUCCAGCCAUGCCGCGUGCAGGAUGACGGUCCUAUGGAUUGUAAACUGCUUUUAUGCAGGAAGAAACACUUCUUCGUGAAGUAGCUUGACGGUACUGUAAGAAUAAGGAU